rnacentral:rRNA from 1 species
UACGUAGGGUGCGAGCGUUGUCCGGAAUUAUUGGGCGUAAAGAGCUUGUAGGCGGUUUGUCGCGUCUGCUGUGAAAAUCCGGGGCUCAACCCCGGACUUGCAGUGGGUACGGGCAGACUAGAGUGCGGUAGGGGAGACUGGAAUUCCCGGUGUAGCGGUGAAAUGCGCAGAUAUCAGGAGGAACACCGGUGGCGAAGGCGGGUCUCUGGGCCGUAACUGACGCUGAGGAGCGAAAGCGUGGGGAGCGAACAGG